GACGAACGCUGGCGGCGUGCUUAACACAUGCAAGUCGGACGGAAAGGCCCUGCUUUUGUGGGGUGCUCGAGUGGCGAACGGGUGAGUAACACGUGAGUAACCUGCCCUUGACUUUGGGAUAACUUCAGGAAACUGGGGCUAAUACCGGAUAGGAGCUCCUGCUGCAUGGUGGGGGUUGGAAAGUUUCGGCGGUUGGGGAUGGACUCGCGGCUUAUCAGCUUGUUGGUGGGGUAGUGGCUUACCAAGGCUUUGACGGGUAGCCGGCCUGAGAGGGUGACCGGCCACAUUGGGACUGAGAUACGGCCCAGACUCCUACGGGAGGCAGCAGUGGGGAAUAUUGCACAAUGGGAGGAAGCCUGAUGCAGCAACGCCGCGUGCGGGAUGACGGCCUUCGGGUUGUAAACCGCUUUCGCCUGUGACGAAGAGUGAGUGACGGUAAUGGGUAAAGAAGCACCGGCUAACUACGUG
rnacentral:rRNA from 1 species